AUGGAACAUCACCACUUACAGACCUGUGCUGGGAGCUGAGUGGGAUCAUCAAACUAGCAUGAGAGCCUAAAUCAAGAGCAUAGAGAGAUGGCGACCUCAGGACCAAGGACAAGGAAUCCAGCUCAGGCCAGGAACUUGCUGAAAGAUCCCAUGGGUGACUCAGGCAGGCUCCAGGGAAGCUUUUCUGGCACAAGAGCUGGGAGACACUUCAGAAUGUCCCAGUGCCUUAGACAAGCAUCAGGGAGCCUCCCAGUAGGGAGGCCGAGCAGCUGCCCUGCCCAAGGGUUUCAAGCAGGAGAGAGAAGAAAGACGCCGUGAAGGUGACAAGUGUGACCAAAACUCCAGCCCGGUAUUUUGCCCAGGGAUUUCCUCUCCCAAGACAAACAUCUGGCAGUAGUCAACAGGAUUCCUCUGAACUUGAAAUCUAUUAUAAUGGGUGCCACUUUUGGGAGGGCCGCCCCAAGAAGUGAUGAGGAGAAGUGGCACUCGCGCAGAGGGACAUGUGUCUACACUCAUGUGGUCGUGGAGGUGCCACCACUCCUGCUGGCCAUGCCCACCCUGGCCCGUGGCCUGAGCCUAAGGCUACUGCUUCUGCCACUGCUGCUGCUCCUGCUACCGGCUGAAGCCUGGCCACAACCAUGGAAAGGAGCAGAG